UACGUAGGGUGCAAGCGUUAAUCGGAAUUACUGGGCGUAAAGCGUGCGCAGGCGGUUUUGUAAGUCAGAUGUGAAAUCCCCGGGCUUAACCUGGGAACUGCGUUUGAAACUACAAGGCUAGAGUGUGGCAGAGGGGGGUGGAAUUCCACGUGUAGCAGUGAAAUGCGUAGAGAUGUGGAGGAACACCGAUGGCGAAGGCAGCCCCCUGGGCUGACACUGACGCUCAGGCACGAAAGCGUGGGGAGCAAACAGG
rnacentral:rRNA from 1 species